GCUGUCGCAAAAUCGACAGCCGGGAUUGGCGUCCUGAACAACUCAACGGCGACACCAGACGCGCCAUGCGUCUUUUUU
rnacentral:sRNA from 1 species